GAUGAACGCUGGCGGCGUGCCUAAUACAUGCAAGUCGAGCGAACAGACGAGGAGCUUGCUCCUCUGACGUUAGCGGCGGACGGGUGAGUAACACGUGGAUAACCUACCUAUAAGACUGGGACAACUUCGGGAAACCGGAGCUAAUACCGGAUAAUAUAUUGAACCGCAUGGUUCAAUAGUGAAAGACGGUUUUGCUGUCACUUAUAGAUGGAUCCGCGCCGCAUUAGCUAGUUGGUAAGGUAACGGCUUACCAAGGCAACGAUGAGUAGCACACCUGAGAAAGUGAACGGCCACACUGGAACUGAGACACGGUCCAGACUCCUACGGGAGGCAGCAGUAGGGAAGCUUCCGCAAUGGGCGAAAGCCUGACGGAGCAACGCCGCGUGAGUGAUGAAGGUCUUAGGAUCGUAAAAAUCUGUUAUUAGGGAAGAACAAAUGUGUAAGUAACUAUGCACGUCUUGACGGUACCUAAUCAGAAAGCCACGGCUAACUACGUG
rnacentral:rRNA from 1 species